CUGAACACUGGUCCUUGAUGUGUAGGAUAGGUGGGAGGCUUUGAAGCGUGGACGCCAGUCUGCGUGGAGCCGACCUUGAAAUACCACCCUUUAAUGGCUGGUGUUCUAACGUAGACCCGUGAUCCGGGUUGCGGACAGUGUCUGGUGGGUAGUUUGACUGGGGCGGUCUCCUCCCAAAGAGUAACGGAGGAGCACGAAGGUUAGCUAAUCCUGGUCGGACAUCAGGAGGUUAGUGCAAUGGCAUAAGCUAGCUUGACUGCGAGAGUGACGGCUCGAGCAGGUGCGAAAGCAGGUCAUAGUGAUCCGGUGGUUCUGAAUGGAAGGGCCAUCGCUCAACGGAUAAAAGGUACUCCGGGGAUAACAGGCUGAUACCGCCCAAGAGUUCAUAUCGACGGCGGUGUUUGGCACCUCGAUGUCGGCUCAUCACAUCCUGGGGCUGAAGUAGGUCCCAAGGGUAUGGCUGUUCGCCAUUUAAAGUGGUACGCGAGCUGGGUUUAGAACGUCGUGAGACAGUUCGGUCCCUAUCUGCCGUGGGCGCUGGAGAAUUGAGGGGGGCUGCUCCUAGUACGAGAGGACCGGAGUGGACGCAUCACUGGUGUUCGGGUUGUCAUGCCAAUGGCACUGCCCGGUAGCUAAAUGCGGAAGAGAUAAGUGCUGAAAGCAUCUAAGCACGAAACUUGCCCCGAGAUGAGUUCUCCCUGAGACUUUAAGUCUCCUGAAGGAACGUUGAAGACGACGACGUUGAUAGGUCGGGUGUGUAAGCGCAGCGAUGCGUUGAGCUAACCGAUACUAAUGAACCGUGAGGCUUAACCUU
rnacentral:rRNA from 1 species